rnacentral:rRNA from 1 species
GACGAACGCUGGCGGCGUGCUUAACACAUGCAAGUCGAACGGAAAGGCCCUGCUUGCAGGGUACUCGAGUGGCGAACGGGUGAGUAACACGUGGGUGAUCUGCCCUGCACUUCGGGAUAAGCUUGGGAAACUGGGUCUAAUACCGGAUAGGAACCAUCUUUAGUGUGGUGGUUGGAAAGUUUUUUCGGUGUAGGAUGAGCUCGCGGCCUAUCAGCUUGUUGGUGGGGUAAUGGCCUACCAAGGCGGCGACGGGUAGCCGGCCUGAGAGGGUGUACGGCCACAUUGGGACUGAGAUACGGCCCAGACUCCUAAGGGAGGCAGCAGUGGGGAAUAUUGCACAAUGGGCGCAAGCCUGAUGCAGCGACGCCGCGUGGGGGAUGAAGGCCUUCGGGUUGUAAACUCCUUUCGCUAGGGACGAAGCUUUGUUGUGACGGUACCUAGAUAAGAAGCACCGGCUAACUACGUG